UACAGAGGUCUCAAGCGUUGUUCGGAUUCAUUGGGCGUAAAGGGUGCGUAGGCGGCGCGGUAAGUCGGGUGUGAAAUCUCGGGGCUUAACUCCGAAACUGCAUUCGAUACUACCGUGCUUGAGGACUGGAGAGGAGACUGGAAUUUACGGUGUAGCGGUGAAAUGCGUAGAUAUCGUAAGGAAGACCAGUGGCGAAGGCGGGUCUCUGGACAGUUCCUGACGCUGAGG
rnacentral:rRNA from 1 species